rnacentral:rRNA from 1 species
UACAGAGGUCCCAAGCGUUGUUCGGAUUCACUGGGCGUAAAGGGUGCGUAGGCGGUCGGGUAAGUCUGCUGUGAAAUCUCACAGCUUAACUGUGAAACUGCAUUGGAUACUAUCCGGCUCGAGGAAUGGAGGGGAGACUGGAAUACUUGGUGUAGCAGUGAAAUGCGUAGAUAUCAAGUGGAACACCAGUGGCGAAGGCGAGUCUCUGGACAUUUCCUGACGCUGAGGCACGAAAGCGAGGGGAGCAAACGGG